rnacentral:lncRNA from 1 species
ACAGGCGGCGAGCGAAACGGCUUAAAGCCGGCCCAAGUGGCAACUGCCAGUGGCAAGUAACAAAGUGGAGAGAUGCCCGGCGGCCCAUGGAACCCAAAACCCGCAUCGGAACGCACCGCAUCGUAUGGAAUCGAAUCGCGUCAAGCCAAACCAAACCAAACCAACCCAGCCCAAGUGAUCCCGGGGCGAAUCGAACCCGAUCCCCUCGUGCUGCUUUAUGGCAUUGGGCGCCACCCAAUUAAAAGGCACUCGUCGACCAUUAAAAGCCGGGUCCGUGCGAGAAUCUGGAGAAUCGGAGGAACUGGGACAGGCAUCGUGAGCUGGGCCCAGUGCAACAUUUCGCCGUAUUUUUUGCAAUUAGAGAAUUAUUAAAGUGUCGUUAAACGGCCGGGGAGCCUGGCAUAUGAAUCAUGCCCACUUUUAUGACGACUGUCAGAGCUCGUGAGUAUUUAUGACCUCGCACAAUGGCCAUAAUACCGAUGGAGAAGGAAGGUGGAAGGCAUUUGGGGAAUGUUACUGCAUCCCAGCAGCGGGUGUUUUGAGUAUAUCGAAUACUCAGAGCUGCAAGGAAAGUGCGCUGGCAUCUGGGUAAUCAAAGGAGAUUACAGAAAGAGGAACUAACGGAAAAAUCGCUGUGAAAUCAAGCCAACAGACACAAAAGUCUUUGGACAAAUCGUGAUUUACGUUGGAGCCAAAAGAAAGUUGCACAAAUAUUGAAAUAUUAUAUCCAUAUUUAUUGGUACCGUCUCUGUGCUCCGGGGACAAAAAAAAAAAAUGAGAUUCGUAAUGCCAGCAAGGAAAUUGAAUCAAUGAAUUUAGUGCGACCAUCAGCAGAAAUUACUUUUAUGAUAAAAAAGAUACUAAAGUCCGGACCCAAAAUCCAUCCAUCCAAAUCCAACCACCCCCGAAGUUGAGAUGGCCCGGAAGUGCGGACCGGACAAAGAAGCUGGCUAUCUCAUAUCAUAAUAAGCGCUCAUCAAUUUCCAUUAAAUUUAAUAUGUCACUUGGCCAAAGGACAAUGCCCGGAACAGGACACUACUGUCCUUUUCCGCUCGUCAUCAUCGUAAAAAGAGACCGGACCAUAAAAAAGCUUUUUCAUAAUUUUGCUCGAAGUGCGCGAGGACGGAAAUAAAAUAUGAUAUGAGCUUGU